rnacentral:rRNA from 1 species
CCUACGGGAGGCAGCAGUGAGGAAUAUUGGUCAGUGGCCGGAAGGCUGAACCAGCCAUGCCGCGUGAAGGUCAGUGCCCUAUGGGCGUUAAACUUCUUUUGUGCGGGAGCAAUAAUGGUCACGUGUGGCCAGACGAGAGUACCGUACGAAUAAGCAACGGCUAACUCCGUUCCAGCAGCCGCGGUAAUACGGGGGAUGCAAGCGUUAUCCGGAUUUUUUGGGUUUAAAGGGUGCGUAGGCGGAGGCACAAGUCAGCGGUAAAAUGGCGGGGUUAAACCCCGCGCCGCCGUUGAAACUGUGUGCCUUGAGUGCGCGAAGGGUAGGCGGAAUGCGUGGUGUAGCGGUGAAAUGCAUAGAUAUCACGCAGAACUCCGAUCGCGAAGGCAGCCUACCGGAGCGCAACUGACGCUCAUGCACGAAAGCGUGGGUAUCGAACAGGAUUAGAUACCCCAGUAGUC